rnacentral:rRNA from 1 species
UUAGAGUUUGAUCCUGGCUCAGGACGAACGCUGGCGGCGCGCCUAACACAUGCAAGUCGAACGAGCGAGAGAGAGCUUGCUUUCUCGAGCGAGUGGCGAACGGGUGAGUAACGCGUGAGGAACCUGCCUCAAAGAGGGGGACAACAGUUGGAAACGACUGCUAAUACCGCAUAAGCCCACAGCUCGGCAUCGAGCAGAGGGAAAAGGAGCAAUCCGCUUUGAGAUGGCCUCGCGUCCGAUUAGCUGGUUGGUGAGGUAACGGCCCACCAAGGCGACGAUCGGUAGCCGGACUGAGAGGUUGAACGGCCACAUUGGGACUGAGACACGGCCCAGACUCCUACGGGAGGCAGCAGUGGGGAAUAUUGCACAAUGGGGGAAACCCUGAUGCAGCGACGCCACGUGGAGGAAGAAGGUCUUCGGAUUGUAAACUCCUGUCGUUGAGGAAGAUAAUGACGGUACUCAACAAGGAAGUGACGGCUAACUACGUGCCAGCAGCCGCGGUGAAACGUACGUCACAAGCGUUGUCCGGAAUUACUGGGUGUAAAGGGAGCGCAGGCGGGAAGGCAAGUUGGAAGUGAAACCAUGGGCUCAACCCAUGAACUGCUUUCAAACCUGUUUUCUUGACUAGUGCACAGGUACGCGGAAUUCCCGGUGUAGCGGUGGAAUGCGUAGAUAUCGGGAGGAACACCAGUGGCGAAGCCGGCCUACUGGGCACCAACUGACGCUGAGGCUCGAAAGUGUGGGUAGCAAACAGGAUUAGAUACCCUGGUAGUCCACACUGUAAACGAUGAUUACUAGGUGUUGGAGGAUUGACCCCUUCAGUGCCGCAGUUAACACAAUAAGUAAUCCACCUGGGGAGUACGACCGCAAGGUUGAAACUCAAAGGAAUUGACGGGGGCCCGCACAAGCAGUGGAGUAUGUGGUUUAAUUCGACGCAACGCGAAGAACCUUACCAAGUCUUGACAUCCUGCGACGGUGCUGGAAACAGUACUUUCCUUCGGGACGCAGAGACAGGUGGUGCAUGGUUGUCGUCAGCUCGUGUCGUGAGAUGUUGGGUUAAGUCCCGCAACGAGCGCAACCCUUAUGGUCAGUUACUACGCAAGAGGACUCUGGCCAGACUGCCGUUGACAAAACGGAGGAAGGUGGGGAUGACGUCAAAUCAUCAUGCCCUUUAUGACUUGGGCUACACACGUACUACAAUGGCGUUAAACAAAGAGAAGCAAGACCGCGAGGUGGAGCAAAACUCAGAAACAACGUCCCAGUUCGGACUGCAGGCUGCAACUCGCCUGCACGAAGUCGGAAUUGCUAGUAAUCGCAGAUCAGCAUGCUGCGGUGAAUACGUUCCCGGGGCCUUGACACACCGCCCGUCA